CCGCCGGAGCCCCGCCUACCGCCACAGUAUUCCGUCGAUUCCGACGAAAUUCCAAAACGAUGAAGUCAUCAACAACAGAGAGGUCACCGUCACCGUAUGAACUCUGGCCACCAUCGUUCACUGUUCCACGAAGAACAAGGCGACGCUACAGCCACAAUCAUCUUCACCGUGUUGCCCGGAACACCACCGACCAGUCCACGGCCGUGGAGGACCGGUACAUCACCGUCUUCAUUCACAUCCAACCCGCUGCGCGUAUGUUCGUACAUGGUUAUACAGUAGCUGAACGACGUGCGCGUCCAUGAUAGGAGCACGCCAUCGCUCGGCCCGACUCAGGCCGAUCCUCCUCGCCACACAAGGACGCGAUCGAGCUCUUCGACCACUCCAUCGACUUCCCCGUGAAUUGCUGCAACGCGCAGACUACUCCACGUCUCCGGGAACCCAGCAUCACCGUCGUCGGCAACGACCAGGGAGGUGCCAUCCUCGUCUUCGAACAGUACCACCGCUCGUUGUACGGAGAGAUACGAGUUUUGAUUGAGAGAAGAGCAGAAUUCUUCAGAUACCAAAAAGGC